UAGCACUGAUGACAAAAAGGUUGGGCUUACAGUUGCUUUGGAUUUCAUCCAUUUGGUAGUAGAAUGAUGAGACCCAUUGGUUAC